UGAGGAAUAUUGGUCAAUGGGCGAGAGCCUGAACCAGCCAAGUAGCGUGUAGGAUGACGGCCCUAUGGGUUGUAAACUGCUUUUAUAUGGGAAUAAAGUGAGGGACGUGUCCCUUAUUGCAUGUACCAUAUGAAUAAGGACCGGCUAAUUCCGUGCCAGCAGCCGCGGUAAUACGGAAGGUCCAGGCGUUAUCCGGAUUUAUUGGGUUUAAAGGGAGCGUAGGCUGUUUGUUAAGCGUGUUGUGAAAUGUAAGAGCUCAACUUUUAGAUUGCAGCGCGAACUGGCAGACUUGAGUGCGCACAACGUAGGCGGAAUUCAUGGUGUGGCGGUGAAAUGCUUAGAUAUCAUGACGAACUCCGAUUGCGAAGGCAGCUUACGGGGGCGCAACUAACGCUAAAGCUCGAAGGUGCGGGUAUCGAACAGG
rnacentral:rRNA from 1 species